rnacentral:lncRNA from 1 species
CUGCCACCAAAACUUUUACAAUCCUAUUAGAGUUCUAGAGCCUUCUACCUGCAAGACGACAAGUAGCCUAGCCACUUGCUCCUCUACUCCCUCCUCCAUUAAGCGAGAUCUCCGAUCUCAAUAACCUCAGGAUGUGUGUACCAUUAUUUUGUUAGAUUUAGGUAUUUUAUGCAUGCAGAUUUCAAAAUAAUUUUUUGUAAUAAGUAGCAGAAGACUAGAUUAAAACACUUUUAAUCUACAUAUGCGUAGAUCUAAUCUAAACACCUACAUAUCUAGUUUAUAUGAUGAAAAUAAAAUAAUCAUGCAUCUGAUUUCAAAAUGAAAAUAAUCUGGUGAUCGAAUCACCUACCUAUAGCACUAUUUUUUUUCUUCAAGAUUUGGAUCUGAAGAUGUCUAUAGGCUCUGAUGAAGCUACACACAUAUCCGACCUCUACGGAUAUCCACACGGGACUGAUAU